rnacentral:rRNA from 1 species
CGCUAGCGACAGGCUUAACACAUGCAAGUCGAGGGGCAGCAUGAGGGUAGCAAUACCCUUGAUGGCGACCGGCGCACUGGUGAGUAACACGUAUGCAACCUGCCCCGCGCAGGGGGAUAAUCCGGAGAAAUCUGGUCUAAUACCCCGUAUGCCGCGCUUCCGCAUGGGGGUGCGGUGAAAGGAGCGAUCCGGCACGGGAUGGGCAUGCGGCGCAUUAGCUAGUCGGCGGGGUGACGGCCCACCGAGGCGACGAUGCGUAGGGGUUCUGAGAGGAAGGUCCCCCACACUGGUACUGAGACACGGACCAGACUCCUACGGGAGGCAGCAGUGAGGAAUAUUGGUCAAUGGACGGAGGUCUGAACCAGCCAAGUCGCGUGAGGGACGACGGCCCUACGGGUUGUAAACCUCUUUUGCGGGGGAGUAAAGUGAGCCACGCGUGGUUCAUUGCGAGUACCCCGAGAAAAAGCAUCGGCUAAUUCCGUGCCAGCAGCCGCGGUAAUACGGAAGAUGCGAGCGUUAUCCGGAUUUAUUGGGUUUAAAGGGUGCGCAGGCGGCAUGUCAAGUCAGCGGUCAAAGUUCCGGGCUCAACCCGGUGAUGCCGUUGAAACUGGCGCGCUUGAGUUCGUGGGAGGAAGGCGGAAUGCGCGGUGUAGCGGUGAAAUGCAUAGAUAUCACGCAGAACCCCGAUUGCGAAGGCAGCYUUCCAUCACGCCACUGACGCUGAGCACGAAAGCGUGGGUAUCGAACAGGAUUAGAUACCCUGGUAGUCCACGCAGUAAACGAUGAUAACUAGUUUUCCGGCGCGAUUGGGCGUUGGGAGACCGAGCGAAAGCGUUAAGUUAUCCACCUGGGGAGUACGCCGGCAACGGUGAAACUCAAAGGAAUUGACGGGGGCCCGCACAAGCGGAGGAACAUGUGGUUUAAUUCGAUGAUACGCGAGGAACCUUACCCGGGCUCAAACGGCGAUGGACGCACCGUGAAAGCGGUGUUCCCUUCGGGGCUGUUGCCGAGGUGCUGCAUGGUUGUCGUCAGCUCGUGCCGUGAGGUGUCGGCUUAAGUGCCAUAACGAGCGCAACCCCCAUCUCCAGUUGCCACCGCGUCAAGGCGGGCACUCUGGAGAGACUGCCGGCGCAAGCUGCGAGGAAGGCGGGGAUGACGUCAAAUCAGCACGGCCCUUACGUCCGGGGCGACACACGUGUUACAAUGGCGGGGCACAGCGGGGCGCCACAUGGCGACAUGGAGCCGAUCCCGAAAACCCGUCUCAGUUCGGAUCGGAGUCUGCAACCCGACUCCGUGAAGCUGGAUUCGCUAGUAAUCGCGCAUCAGCCAUGGCGCGGUGAAUACGUUCCCGGGCCUUGUACACACCGCCCG